rnacentral:rRNA from 1 species
GCGGCUUACCAUGCAAGUCGAACGAUGACUCUCUAGCUUGCUAGAGAAGAUUAGUGGCGGACGGGUGAGUAACAUUUAGGAAUCUGCCUAGUAGUGGGGGAUAGCUCGGGGAAACUCGAAUUAAUACCGCAUACGACCUACGGGUGAAAGGGGGCGCAAGCUCUUGCUAUUAGAUGAGCCUAAAUCAGAUUAGCUAGUUGGUGGGGUAAAGGCCCCAAGGCGGCACGAUUCUGUAACUGGUCUGAGAGGAUGAUCAGUCACACCGGAACUGAGACACGGUCCGGACUCCUACGGGAGGCAGCAGUGGGGAAUAUUGGACAAUGGGGGCAACCCUGAUCCAGCCAUGCCGCGUGUGUGAAGAAGGCCUUUUGGUUGUAAAGCACUUUAAGCAGGGAGGAGAGGCUAAUGGUUAAUACCCAUUAGAUUAGACGUUACCUGCAGAAUAAGCACCGGCUAACUCUGUGCCAGCAGCCGCGGUAAUACAGAGGGUGCGAGCGUUAAUCGGAAUUACUGGGCGUAAAGCGAGUGUAGGUGGCUCAUUAAGUCACAUGUGAAAUCCCCGGGCUUAACCUGGGAACUGCAUGUGAUACUGGUGGUGCUAGAAUAUGUGAGAGGGAAGUAGAAUUCCAGGUGUAGCGGUGAAAUGCGUAGAGAUCUGGAGGAAUACCGAUGGCGAAGGCAGCUUCCUGGCAUAAUAUUGACACUGAGAUUCGAAAGCGUGGGUAGCAAACAGGAUUAGAUACCCUGGUAGUCCACGCCGUAAACGAUGUCUACUAGCCGUUGGGGUCCUUGAGACUUUAGUGGCGCAGUUAACGCGAUAAGUAGACCGCCUGGGGAGUACGGCCGCAAGGUUAAAACUCAAAUGAAUUGACGGGGGCCCGCACAAGCGGUGGAGCAUGUGGUUUAAUUCGAUGCAACGCGAAGAACCUUACCUGGUCUUGACAUAGUGAGAAUCCUGCAGAGAUGCGGGAGUGCCUUCGGGAAUUCACAUACAGGUGCUGCAUGGCUGUCGUCAGCUCGUGUCGUGAGAUGUUGGGUUAAGUCCCGCAACGAGCGCAACCCUUUUCCUUAUUUGCCAGCGGGUUAAGCCGGGAACUUUAAGGAUACUGCCAGUGACAAACUGGAGGAAGGCGGGGACGACGUCAAGUCAUCAUGGCCCUUACGACCAGGGCUACACACGUGCUACAAUGGUAGGUACAGAGGGUUGCUACACAGCGAUGUGAUGCUAAUCUCAAAAAGCCUAUCGUAGUCCGGAUUGGAGUCUGCAACUCGACUCCAUGAAGUCGGAAUCGCUAGUAAUCGCAGAUCAGAAUGCUGCGGUGAAUACGUUCCCGGGCCUUGUACACACCGCCCGUCACACCAUGGGAGUCUAUUGCACCAGAAGUAGGUAGCCUAACGAAAGAGGGC